ensembl:snRNA U6 U6 spliceosomal RNA
AUGCUUUUAGGUAGUAUAUAUAUUAAAAUUAGAAUGACAAAAAGAUUAGCAUGACCUCUGUGUGAGGAUGACACAAAUUCAUGAAGUGUUCCAUAUUUUA